GACGAACGCUGGCGGCGUGCUUAACACAUGCAAGUCGAACGGAAAGGCCCUGCUUUUGUGGGGUGCUCGAGUGGCGAACGGGUGAGUAACACGUGAGUAACCUGCCCUUGACUUUGGGAUAACUUCAGGAAACUGGGGCUAAUACCGGAUAGGAGCUCCUGCUGCAUGGUGGGGGUUGGAAAGUUUCGGCGGUUGGGGAUGGACUCGCGGCUUAUCAGCUUGUCGGUGGGGUAGUGGCUUACCAAGGCUUUGACGGGUAGCCGGCCUGAGAGGGUGACCGGCCACAUUGGGACUGAGGUACGGCCCAGACUCCUACGGGAGGCAGCAGUGGGGAAUAUUGCACAAUGGGCGGAAGCCUGAUGCAGCAACGCCGCGUGCGGGAUGACGGCCUUCGGGUUGUAAACCGCUUUCGCCUGUGACGAAGCGUGAGUGACGGUAAUGGGUAAAGAAGCACCGGCUAACUACGUG
rnacentral:rRNA from 1 species